GACGAACGCUGGCGGCGUGCUUAACACAUGCAAGUCGAACGGAAAGGCCUUUUCGGAGGUACUCGAGUGGCGAACGGGUGAGUAACACGUGGGUGAUCUGCCCUGCACUCUGGGAUAAGCCUGGGAAACUGGGUCUAAUACCGGAUAGGACCGCACUUUAGUGUGUGUGGUGGAAAGUUUUUUCGGUGUAGGAUGAGCCCGCGGCCUAUCAGCUUGUUGGUGGGGUAAUGGCCUACCAAGGCGGCGACGGGUAGCCGGACUGAGAGGUUGGUCGGCCACAUUGGGACUGAGAUACGGCCCAGACUCCGACGGGAGGCAGCAGGGGGGAAUAUUGCACAAUGGGCGCAAGCCGGAUGCAGCGACGCCGCGGGGGGGAUGACGGCCUUCGGGUUGUAAACUCCUUCCGCCAGGGACGAAGCGUUUUGUGACGGUACCUGGAGAAGAAGCACCGGCUAACUACGUG
rnacentral:rRNA from 1 species